rnacentral:rRNA from 1 species
CCUAGGGGAGGCAGCAGUAGGGAAUAUUGGGCAAUGGGCGCAAGCCUGACCCAGCGACGCCGCGUGAGGGACGAAGGCCUUCGGGUCGUAAACCUCUUUCAGUAGGGAAGAAGCGAAAGUGACGGUACCCAAAGAAGAAGCACCGGCUAACUAUGUGCCAGCAGCCGCGG